UCUCCUUUUCUUGUGUUUACAGUUAUGACUUGUGGCCUAAUUUUGCUGAUGGCUGGUCAAAUUUGUCAUGAGAAAGGGAAGCCUCUAUGAGGCAGCACAUUGUUGUAGACAAGCUUUAGCAGUCGUUGUCUGGUGAUAUCUUUCAUGCAGCUCCUAAUAUUGAUCAUUCACAGGAAUUUGUACGCAAGGAUAUAAAGGUCUGGUUAAAUUGGCUUCGGAAUGAUAUUGGCUUUGAUGGAUGGAGCCUUGAUUUUGUAAGGGGAUUUUCAGGUCAUUAUGUGAAAGAGUAUAUUGAAGCUUCAAACCCUGCAUUUGCUAUAGGGGAAUACUGGGACAGCUUGUCUUAUGAAGGUGGCAACCUUUGCUACAAUCAAGCAUCGUUUCAACAGGCCAAAGCGACAGAUGCUCACAGCAAAAAGAAAAUAGGAGGAAAAUGAAAAGUUGUCUUAUGGCAAUUUUCAAAAGCAGCCUUCAGAAUAGUGUUUAGGAGAUGAGGAGACCCUCUGACUUUGCA